rnacentral:rRNA from 1 species
AGAGUUUGAUCCUGGCUCAGAUUGAACGCUGGCGGCAUGCCUAACACAUGCAAGUCGAACGGAAACGAUGGGAGCUUGCUCCCAGGCGUCGAGUGGCGGACGGGUGAGUAAUACUUAGGAAUCUGCCCAUUAGUGGGGGACAGCUAGAAGAAAUUCUAGCUAAUACCGCAUACGCCCUACGGGGGAAAGCGGAGGACCUUUCGGGGCUUCGCGCUAAUGGAUGAGCCUAAGUCGGAUUAGCUUGUUGGUGAGGUAAAGGCUCACCAAGGCGACGAUCCGUAGCUGGUCUGAGAGGACGAUCAGCCACACUGGGACUGAGACACGGCCCAGACUCCUACGGGAGGCAGCAGUGGGGAAUAUUGGACAAUGGGCGCAAGCCUGAUCCAGCAAUGCCGCGUGUGUGAAGAAGGCCUGCGGGUUGUAAAGCACUUUCAGUAGAGAAGAAAAGCCUAUGGUUAAUACCCGUGGUCUUGACGUUACCUACAGAAGAAGCUCCGCUAACU